rnacentral:tRNA from 2 species
CGGGGCGUGGCGCAGAUGGCUAGCGCAUCUGCAUGGGGCGCAGGAGGUCGCUGGUUCAAGUCCAGUCGCCCCGACCA